rnacentral:rRNA from 1 species
UUGUCCUACGGGAGGCAGCAGUGAGGAAUAUUGGUCAAUGGGCUUACGCCUGAACCAGCCAAGUCGCGUGAGGGAAGACUGCCCUAUGGGUUGUAAACCUCUUUUGUCAGGGGGCAACGCCGGCUACGUGUAGCCGGACUGAGAGUACCUGAAGAAAAAGCAUCGGCCAACUCCGUGCCAGCAGCCGCGGUAAUACGGAGGAUCCGAGCGUUAUCCGGAUUUAUUGGGUUUAAAGGGAGCGUAGAUGGGUUGUUAAGUCAGUUGUGAAAGUUUGCGGCUCAACCGUAAAAUUGCAAUUGAUACUG